UUCAACUUGUGCUGUUGUAUCACAUUGUCAACGUCGCUACAGCAGGAUUGCUUCAGCUUCAAUCCGUUGAGCCAAGAGGACAAGCCUUCGGGGGCCGCUGGACGUCACGUCACGGGCGGGGUAGCAGUUCAGUAGCACUGGGGACGGCAGGAGACCUGGGUCGCCGCUGCGGCUCCCAGUCGUCCUGCUGUCUGUCCAGGUGAAGGGCUUCGGUGGGACAAGUGUUUCUCUGGAUGUGGACCCUUGUUGGCUGUUCUUACUUUCUGUGGUGAGCUGGCUGUAGGGCGUUGCCUGCUCGCUACGUGGCUUGUCCGUCCCUUCAGGACGCCCCCCGGACAACGCUCGCGUACCUGCCUGCUGCCACUGCAGAGCUUGUCUGAUGCGCCUUCAGCGUGGCGUGGGGCCAUGGGGCCCAGGCCUCACGCCUAGGACGAGCUGUGUGUGGAGAGGUGGGCCCUUCAGGGCGGUGGGCGCGCCCCCUCGGGCAAAUAUCACUGCGGUUCAAGUUUUUGAAAAGAACUCCACGAGGCGACGUGUCCGGUGCGACGCGAGCUCCGCCGAGCCCCGGCCAGCGGGCCGUUUGCGCUUACUACUUGGUGCGUUACUGGAAUCUUGUUCGGCACGACGCUCAAAGCCUCUCAGUUCCAGGCACACCAACUCCAGGAAGCACCGGACGUGGCUACGCAC